AGCCUGGUUAGCUCAAUCGGUAGAGCGUGAGACUCUUAACAGAGAUCACUCUCCCAGAGAACGAUUGAUAUACUCAUCUCAAGGUUGCGGGUUCGACCCCCGCAUCGGGCUG